GACGAACGCUGGCGGCGUGCUUAACACAUGCAAGUCGAACGGAAAGGCCCUGCUUUUGUGGGGUGCUCGAGUGGCGAACGGGUGAGUAACACGUGAGUAACCUGCCCUUGACUUUGGGAUAACUUCAGGAAACUGGGGCUAAUACCGGAUAGGAGCUCCUGCUGCAUGGUGGGGGUUGGAAAGUUUCGGCGGUUGGGGAUGGACUCGCGGCUUAUCAGCUUGUUGGUGGGGUAGUGGCUUACCAAGGCUUUGACGGGUAGCCGGCCUGAGAGGGUGACCGGCCAAUUUGGGAUGGAGAUCCGGCCCGGCCUCCUACGGGGGGCAGCGGGGGGGAAUAUUGCACAAUGGGCGGAGGCCUGAUGCAGCACCGCGGCGUGCGGGAUACCGGCCUUCGGGUGGUAAACCGCUUUCGCCUGUAACAAGGCGUGAGUGACGGUAAUGGGUAAAGAAGCACCGGCUAACUACGUG
rnacentral:rRNA from 1 species